rnacentral:rRNA from 1 species
AGCAGCCGCGGUAAUUCCAGCUCCAAUAGCGUAUAUUAAAGUUGUUGCAGUUAAAAAGCUCGUAGUUGAAUUUCGAGACCGGUUUAUUGGUCGUGCUUUUGUACGUACUGGUAUUAUUGGUUUCUCCUUUCUGACGAAUCUUAAUGCCAUUAAUUUGGUGUUUUGGGGAGUCAGGACUGUUACUUUGAAAAAAUUAGAGUGUUUAAAGCAGGCUCACGCUUGAAUACAUUAGCAUGGAAUAACGGAAUAGGACGUUUGAUUCUAUUUUGUUGGCUUCUAGGAUCGACGUAAUGAUUAAUAGGGAUAGUUGGGGGCAUUAGUAUUCAAUUGUCAGAGGUGAAAUUCUUGGAUUUAUUGAAGACUAACUACCGCGAAAGCAUUUGCCAAGGAUGUUUUCAUUAAUCAAGAACGAAAGUUAGGGGAUCGAAGACGAUCAGAUACCGUCGUAGU